GGCGGAUGGGUGAGUAACGCGUAGGUAACCUAUCCCCAAGUGGGGGGCAACAGGGAGAAAUCCCUGCUAAUACCGCAUAAUGUGCUUAAGGGGAACCCUGAGCACUAAAGCUAUGGCGCUUGGGGAGGGGCUUGCGUCCUAUCAGGUAGUUGGUGAGGUAAAGGCUCACCAAGCCGAUGACGGGUAGCUGGUCUGAGAGGAUGGUCAGCCACACUGGAACUGAGACAAGGUCCAGACUCCUACGGGAGGCAGCAGCAGGGAAUCUUGCGCAAUGGGCGAAAGCCUGACGCAGCAACACCGCGUGGGGGAAGAAGGCCUUCGGGUUGUAAACCCCUUUUCUCGGGGAAGAAAUCCGACGGUACCCGAGGAAUAAGCCUUGGCUAACUACGUGCCAGCAGCCGCGGUAAUACGUAGGAGGCGAGCGUUAUCCGGAUUUACUGGGCGUAAAGGGCGUGUAGGCGGCCCGGAAAGUCCCCUGUGAAAUCUCAGGGCUUAACCCUGAGGGGUCAGGGGAAACUUUCAGGCUUGAGGACAGCAGAGGGAGGUGGAAUUCCCGGUGGAGCGGUGAAAUGCGUAGAUAUCGGGAGGAACACCUGUGGCGAAGGCAGCCUCCUGGGCUGUUCCUGACGUUGAGGCGCGAAAGCGUGGGGAGCAAAC
rnacentral:rRNA from 1 species